UCCCUGCUGGCUCAGAGGUUAAAGCGUCUGCCUGCAAUGUGGGAGACCUGGGUUCAAUCCCUGGGUCAGGAA
rnacentral:tRNA from 1 species